UACAGGGGGUGCAAACGUUGCUCGGAAUUAUUGGGCGUAAAGCGCGCGUAGGCGGCCACUUAAGUCGGAUGUGAAAGCCCCUGGCUCAACUGGGGAAGUGCACCCGAAACUGAAUGGCUUGAAUGCAAAAGAGGGUCGCGGAAUUCCCGGUGUAGAGGUGAAAUUCGUAGAUAUCGGGAGGAACACCGGUGGCGAAGGCGGCAUCCUGGACCGACACUGACGCUGAGGCGCGAAAGCCAGGGGAGCAAACGGG
rnacentral:rRNA from 1 species